UGUUUUUCAGCACAGAUCAUCCAUCAGCUGCGGCGACAGCAAAUUUACAGCUAAAUGAACUCCAGCAAUGACUCACCUGUUAAUGUGGAAUCUAAUCUCCGCACUGAUUGCUUGUUUCUUUCAGAGAUUGAUGGAAAAAUUAUGUGAUAAUUGCGCUCAGCAGCACUGCAGUGGAGAAAUAGCAGCGCAGCUUAUACUUCAGCGUGUACCAAGUUUGAGCUCCUCUUCUGCAGAUGCUGGCAUAGAAAAAGCCAUGGUCUUGAGGCUUGGUUGACAUGGCAACCCACAAUCUCAUAACCAUCAGUUGGAGCCAGGAGGUGAUGAACUGCUCUCCAGUAUCAACAACAUCACACUCUGUCAAGGCUGCUAUUUCCAUGUAAAUAAAAUUAAUAAAUAAAAUAAAAUAUGCAAUCCA